UGAACGCUGGCGGCGUGCCUAACACAUGCAAGUCGAACGGACCUAUAUUAACAGAGACUUCGGUUGAAGUUGGUUUAGGUUAGUGGCGGACGGGUGAGUAACGCGUGGAGAACCUGCCCUGUACUGGGGGAUAACAGUGAGAAAUCACUGCUAAUACCGCAUAAGCGCACGAAACCGCAUGGUUUUGUGUGAAAAACUCCGGUGGUACAGGAUGGCUCCGCGUUGGAUUAGCCUGUUGGCGGGUAACGGCCCACCAAAGCUACGAUCCAUAGCCGGCCUGAGAGGGUGAACGGCCACAUUGGGACUGAGACACGGCCCAGACUCCUACGGGAGGCAGCAGUGGGGAAUAUUGCACAAUGGGGGAAACCCUGAUGCCAGCGACGCCGCGUGAAGGAAGAAGUAUCUCGGUAUGUAAACUUCUAUCAGCAGGGAAGAAAAUGACGGUACCUGACUAAGAAGCCCCGGCUAACUACGUGCCAGCAGCUGC
rnacentral:rRNA from 1 species